rnacentral:rRNA from 1 species
GUUUUAACGGCCGCGGUAUUCUGACCGUGCAAAGGUAGCAUAAUCACUUGUUCUCCAAAUAAGGACUUGUAUGAAUGGCCACACGAGGGUUUUACUGUCUCUUACUUCCAAUCAGUGAAAUUGACCUUCCCGUGAAGAGGCGGGAAUAAAAAAAUAAGACGAGAAGACCCUAUGGAGCUUUAAUUAACUAUUCCAAAAGUUAAACAAUUCAACCACAAAGGGAUAAAACAUAACUUAACAUGGACUAGCAAUUUCGGUUGGGGUGACCUCGGAGUACAAAAAAACCUCCGAGUGAUUUUAAUCUAGACAAACCAGUCAAAAUAACCAUAACAUCACUUAUUGAUCCAAAAUUUUGAUCAACGGAACAAGUUACCCUAGGGAUAACAGCGCAAUCCUAUUCUAGAGUUCCUAUCGACAAUAGGGUUUACGACCUCGAUGUUGGAUCAGGACACCCAAAUGGUGCAACCGCUAUUAAAGGUUCGUUUGUUCAACGAUUAAAGUCCUACGUGAUCUGAG